rnacentral:rRNA from 1 species
AACGGCCAUACCAUGCUGAAUAUACCGGUUCUCGUUAGAUCACCGAAGUCAAGCAUCAUUGGGCGCGGUCAGUACUUGGGUGGGUAACCACCUGGGAACACCGCGUGCCGUUG